GCCACAUUCAUGAGGACCACCACCUUGAAUCUUCCUGAAACUUAACUGUGGAUGUUCUUACAAUUUCUCAGUGGCUGAACCAUUUGGCCAAAGAACUGUGCCAACUCUACUCCAAUCAGCUACAAAGAAGGGUCUCCAGCCUGCCUGUCAAGACUUGUGCUUAAAAUCCACCGUGUUCUCUUCUGAUUUGCUGGGAGCCCCAAUGCAUCCAACCCCACCAAAACUGCGGUGUCAGCAUGUUCUUGUGCAUGUCGCCUUUUUGAUGAGCAAAUAAUUUUGAUAUCUGCUUAGACAACGUGGCAACCAUGACACCCCAGGAAAAGAGGAUGGUAGAAGAAGGAUAGAAGAACUCCUGAUGUUUCUUUCAAAUGUUAUUAAAAAAC
rnacentral:lncRNA from 1 species